rnacentral:rRNA from 1 species
AGCGAACGCUGGCGGCAGGCCUAACACAUGCAAGUCGAACGAACCCUUCGGGGUUAGUGGCGGACGGGUGAGUAACACGUGGGAACGUGCCUUUAGGUUCGGAAUAACUCAGGGAAACUUGUGCUAAUACCGAAUGUGCCCUUCGGGGGAAAGAUUUAUCGCCUUUAGAGCGGCCCGCGUCUGAUUAGCUAGUUGGUGAGGUAAUGGCUCACCAAGGCUACGAUCAGUAGCUGGUCUGAGAGGAUGACCAGCCACAUUGGGACUGAGACACGGCCCAAACUCCUACGGGAGGCGGCAGUGCGGAAUUUUGCGCAAUGGGCGAAAGCCUGACGCAGCCAUGCCGCGUGGAUGAUGAAGGUCUUAGGAUUGUAAAAUCCUUUCACCGGUGAAGAUAAUGACUGUAGCCGGAGAAGAAGCCCCGGCUAACUUCGUGCCAGCAGCCGCGGUAAUAC